rnacentral:rRNA from 1 species
UACGUAGGGAGCAAGCGUUGUCCGGAUUCACUGGGUGUAAAGGGUGCGUAGGCGGGAGAGUAAGUCAGUGGUGAAAUCUCACGGCUCAACCGUGAAACUGCCGUUGAUACUGCUUUUCUUGAGUUCGGGAGAGGUUGAUGGAAUUCCAGGUGUAGCGGUGAAAUGCGUAGAUAUCUGGAAGAACACCAGUGGCGAAGGCGGUCAACUGGCCCGAGACUGACGCUGAGGCACGAAAGCGUGGGGAGCGAAC